rnacentral:lncRNA from 1 species
CGGGUGCGGCGGCUCUCCGGUGAAGUUCGUGUUUUGGUGAUUCAGCUCCGAUCAACCUGUAGAGAAAAGAAUGGUGAUCACGGUGAUAUAAAAAUUGCAUUAAACGGAGGCCGGGAAGGGCCUCAUCGGAGGCAAAAACCGAGAAGGGGCCCGGCGGCGCCGCUGGCUUUCGGCCGUGUUUUCUGGCCGUUUGGUCGGGAUUUUGGCUCCGAUUUGGCCACUGGAGAAAUCAGCGUGGAAAAACGAGUCGCGAGUAUGAAAUUUACCUCGAUCGGCGGUCGGAAAUCCCUCCGGUGCGGCGGCGGGUGGCGGCGGCCGGCUUCUAGUUCGUCUUCUCCGGCGAGGGCAGGCGGCUAGGGUUUGGGGUCUGGUGUGGGGGUCUUAUUUAUACCCUUUUGCCUUUUGAUCUCAGCCAUCCAUUUUGAUUUAAUCU